GUUUGAUCCUGGCUCAGAGCGAACGUUAGCGGCGCGCCUAACACAUGCAAGUCGCACGAGAAACGGAGCAAUCCGCGGUACAGUGGCGCACGGGUGAGUAACACGUGGAUGACCUUCCCUGGAGUGGUGGAUAACCUGCCGAAAAGGCGGGCUAAUACAGCAUGGGACCACGACGCUUUGGCGAUGUGGUGAAAGCGGGCCUCUAUAUAUAAGCUCGCGCUCCGGGACGGGUCCGCGUCCCAUCAGCUAGUUGGUGAGGUAACGGCUCACCAAGGCAACGACGGGUAGGCUGGUCUGAGAGGAUGGCCAGCCACACUGGAACUGAGACACGGUCCAGACUCCUACGGGAGGCAGCAGUGGGGAAUCUUGCGCAAUGGGCGAAAGCCUGACGCAGCGACGCCGCGUGGGCGAAGAAGG
rnacentral:rRNA from 1 species